rnacentral:rRNA from 1 species
GACGAACGCUGGCGGCGUGCUUAACACAUGCAAGUCGAACGGAAAGACCCUGCUUUUGUGGGGUGCUCGAGUGGCGAACGGGUGAGUAACACGUGAGUAACCUGCCCUUGACUUUGGGAUAACUUCAGGAAACUGGGGCUAAUACCGGAUAGGAGCUCCUGCUGCAUGGUGGGGGUUGGAAAGUUUCGGCGGUUGGGGAUGGACUCGCGGCUUAUCAGCUUGUUGGUGGGGUAGUGGCUUACCAAGGCUUUGACGGGUAGCCGGCCUGAGAGGGUGACCGGCCACAUUGGGACUGAGAUACGGCCCAGACUCCUACGGGAGGCAGCAGUGGGGAAUAUUGCACAAUGGGCGGAAGCCUAAUGCAGCAACGCCGCGUGCGGGAUGACGGCCUUCGGGUUGUAAACCGCUUUCGCCUGUGACGAAGCGUGAGUGACGGUAAUGGGUAAAGAAGCACCGGCUAACUACGUG